rnacentral:rRNA from 1 species
CAGUCGCCACGGGAAUACGUAGGGUGCAAGCGUUAAUCGGAAUUACUGGGCGUAAAGCGUGCGCAGGCGGUUAUAUAAGACAGAUGUGAAAUCCCCGGGCUCAACCUGGGAACUGCAUUUGUGACUGUAUAGCUAGAGUACGGCAGAGGGGGAUGGAAUUCCGCGUGUAGCAGUGAAAUGCGUAGAUAUGCGGAGGAACACCGAUGGCGAAGGCAAUCCCCUGGGCCUGUACUGACGCUCAUGCACGAAAGCGUGGGGAGCAAACAGGAUUAGAGACCCCUGUAGUCCCUGUCUCUUAUAC